rnacentral:rRNA from 1 species
UACGUAGGGGGCGAGCGUUGUCCGGAUUCAUUGGGCGUAAAGAGCUCGUAGGCGGUUCAGUAAGUCGGGUGUGAAAGCUCCGAGCUCAACUCGGAGAGGCCACCCGAUACUGCUGUGACUUGAGUCCAGUAGAGGAGCGUGGAAUUCCUGGUGUAGCGGUGAAAUGCGCAGAUAUCAGGAGGAACACCAGCAGCGAAGGCGGCGCUCUGGGCUGGAACUGACGCUGAGGAGCGAAAGCGUGGGUAGCAAACAGG